CUGCCAGUCAGAAGUAGUGCAGGGUCCUUCCGGUCACCAUCUUCAGGCUCGGCUUUGAAGAAAAGCUGGCGUCAUUAGAUUUGUAUGCUGUUUUGCGAGUGCUGCUGCAGGAAGCCGAGCAGAGAGCUUGGGCAAGUUGGAAACCCACAACAUGGUGAGUGAAGAGCUGCUGUCCCCAGACUGGGAGGAGUGGUCAUUUCAGUCAUGGGAGCCAGUUUGACGGGUUCUCCCUUGGCUGGGUGGGAGCCAGUGGCCAGAUGUAGAGUUCUGCGUGUUUUUGUAUGGUACUUCAUGGUCCAGCGUGUUUCUGCUCAUCCUGCAUGCUCCAUUGUGUUUCUGCAUGGCCCUGCACUGUCUUUGCAAUUUCUGGGCUGGCUGGCAGGCUUUGUGCCUUGUUGACAUCACUGUGAAAUGCUGCCAUCCUUAGUGAUUAUGUUGUUGUUAUGCAACAAAUAUUUGCCAAAUUCAGAUAGCCAUGGUUCUGUAUCUUUCGCAUUUUCCAGAAGUAUUGCACUUUGUACUUUUCAUAUUUAAAUUUAGGAUACAUGUGACAUUAAUUCUGUGGAGCUCAUAAACAGUAUCUCCUAUGUAAAGUAGCCCUCCAAAGCUAAAAUGAGAUGUAGAAAAGUAGAAUUAAUGGUAAUAGAAUUUAUAGUACAAGGUGUUACCAGUUAUUUGGACAUAUUAAUUCACAAAGGAGCAUUUAAAUAAGGGAGGGUUCCAUCUCAAAUUCCCCAAACAUAAGUAGUAUGAUGUUAGAGAUAAAUCUGAUAAGAUAUAAAUGUUUGUUUCUCAGGAUUAACCAGCUACAUUCCCAUAACAAAGGAGACAACCCUGAUUUAUAAUCAGCAGAAAGGCCCAUCUCUCCAUUUAUAAACAGGCCUCAAAAAGUGCUCAAGGGGCCAUUAUAGGGUCACAAACAACAUUAAAUCCUGAUAUGCCAUAAGGGUAUAUUAAUUCUAGAACAGGGGCAUCUCCAGUCUUUUUGAAAACCAGUUUUCAGUCAUGGUCUCUGAUGUUACUUGAGGUGAACUAGAACCCUAUCCUCCUAAGAACCCUAAAUCUUGGAUUAUAUAGCUGCAGCACCACAAAGUUCUAAAAUUACCAGUUUGUGUCAUAUAGUGGGCUGUCCAUUGUGGAACAGGAAAAGGAUUUGUGUGUGGAGCAUGGCUUCUCCCUUCAGACCAGCGGAAGAGGAGGAACAGUAUACUGUGUACACUGCAGGGGAAAACAGACUAGAUAAUAGCUUGAUCAUGACGGAAGUUGAAGGCAGUGAGCUGCAGGGGUCUCCAUUACAAGGAAGGACUGAUGGAUGGGGCAUGGUUUAAGAUGUGUACCCCGAGAGAAAUGAUGUGAGUAGUACUUGGUGUGCUUGAAUACAAAUCCCUAGCCUCUGGAGCACAUGGCCAUAAAGCCUGUUUCAACUUUUUAACAGAAUUAUUGGGGAUUAUGUUUACAUUAUUUUCAAUAUCUCUUUCCUGCCUCUAACCCCUCCCAUAGGCCUUUCCUUGUGUUCUAACCCAUGGCCUCUUCUUGUUUAACAACAUUUACUGUUUUAAUGUGACCUGUGUUUGGUUGCAGGACCUCCCAGGUAUGAAGUAAAAAAUUGGCUACACUGAACAUUGAAUGUGUAAUGGAAUGUGAACACAUAAGAUCCUGUGCCUUGCAAAAGGAAGAGGAAAUGCUCUGGGAGUUUGGAGAAUUUUACUAAACUACCAAAUCUCCAGAUUAGGAUCAUGUCUGACCAUACUGUGGAGAGGAGAGAGGAGAGAGGAGAAAAACCUGAGAAGGUUUUUGCUCUCUGAGUCAUUUGAUCGUUGCUCACCCAGUAGGGUAACUUCUAAUGUUCUGAAAUGCAACUGGGUAGUCCUAGCUAAUGAGGGACUCUGGGAAGCCUUAGCAAUCAGGAACACCAAUAGGAGGUAGCUUACAGGUUCUUUCCAGGAUUCUCUUCUUGUUCUGCUGUAGGGAGUUGUAAGGAAUUCCACAAGCCAUGCCAUGCUGAGUGUAGGGACCACUGUCACCAGACCAGGAAGAACAGGUUGGCUGAGCUGUCAGAGCUGCUUGGUCUGGGAUGAACCAUGAGCCAGAAUGACCUUCUGUUGCUUCUGUGGUAACCUGGGUAGAGGCCCUUGUCGUCUGAGCUUUGCUGAGUGUAGAUUCCCUGGGGAGGAGGAGGCUCUGCCAUCCUGGCAUGGGGGACUAUGAGCUUAUAAUAUCAUUGCAUCAUGCUAUGUAAUUGAGAAUUGCUUUGAACACCUAAUCCUGCCUCUGCUGCUUGUUGUUAGGUACACAGCCCGGCAAAUCCUACCAGUCCAGAUAAUAGAAUGUGCAAAAAAGAAAAUUCUCUGUGCUUUGGACAAGGAAUAGGAUGUGAUCUAGGAGAGUGGAAAAUGUCUACUAUAAUACAAACUUUCAUGACUAGGGCCCUUUUUGCUGGGCUGGAAGAGCAGAGCUAAAAGUGUGCUUUCUGAAUCAUUUGUUCUCUGAUCACCCAGUAGGGUAGCUGUUAAUAUUCUGAGGCCCAACUGGAUAGCCCUAGCCAAUGAGGGACUCUGGGAAGGCUUAGCAAUCAGAAGUCCUAGUGGCAGAUAGCUUGAAGGUUCUUUCUAGGAUUCUCCUUUGCUUCUGCUGUAGGGAGUUGUAAGGAAGACCAUGAGCCAUACCAUGGUGGGUGUAGGGGUUUCAGAGGUCUGUUGAUCUGUCAUUUCUACUGGAAUUUGGAUGGAAUACAAGCCAGACUAUGGUUCUGUUGGUCCAUAUAAUGGCCUCAGCAGUUGUCCUUGUCUUCUUAGCCUCCCUGUGAAUGAAUUUCCUGGGGAGGAAGAAACUCUAUAGCCCUGGCAUGGGAGGAUAUGAUGCUAAUAGUAUCACUGUUCAGUGUGCACACAUGGGCAUGCUUUUGAUGUGGAGUGAGAAGAUAUAUUAGAAAACUGAAUGUCUGGUUUCUACAAGUUUGAACAUUGAACUCCUCUUUUACAUUUGUCUUAUAAAUGCUACAAAUAAAUUAGAAACUGGCCAGGUG